rnacentral:rRNA from 1 species
GAUGAACGCUGGCGGCGUGCUUAACACAUGCAAGUCGAACGGAAAGGCCCGGCUUUUGCGGGGCGCUCGAGUGGCGAACGGGUGAGUAACACGUGAGUAACCUGCCCCUGACUUAGGGAUAACUUCAGGAAACUGGGGCUAACACCGGAUAGGAGCUUUUGCUGCAUGGUGGGGGUUGGAAAGUUACGGCGGUUGGGGAUCGGCUCGCGGCUUAUCAGCUUGUUGGUGGGGUAGUGGCUUACCACGGUUUUGACGGGUAGCCGGCCUGGGAGGGUGACCGGCCACCUGGCGCCUGAGGUACGGCCCAGACUCCUACGGGAGGCAGCAGUGGGGAAUAUUGCACAAUGGGCGGACGCCUGAUGCAGCAACGCCGCGUGCGGGAUGACGGCCUUCGGGUUGUAAACCGCUUUCGCCUGUACCGAAGCGUGCGUGACGGUACUGGAUCAAGAAGCACCGGCUAACUACGUG